AACGUAGGUGGCAAGCGUUAUCCGGAUUUACUGGGCGUAAAGGGUGUGCAGGCGGGGGUGCAAGUGGGGGAUGAAAUCUCCCGGCUUAACCGGGAGGGGUUAUGCCAGACUGCAAUUCUAGAGGACGAGAGAGGGGGGUGGAAUUCCGGGUGUAGUGGUGAAAUGCGUAGAGAUCCGGAGGAACCCCAGAGGCGAAGGCGGCCCCCUGGCUCGUACCUGACGCUCAGCCACGAAAGCAUGGGGAGCGAACGGG
rnacentral:rRNA from 1 species